CCAUGACAUCUACUGAAGCUUGACACUUCUGUAAAAAAAAAACUAUUAUAACAUGUACGUUUCUUGUAUAAAUUAUUUACAGUUUAGAUACACUGACAAAGCUAACCAGUCUUUUCAUUAAAAAAAAAAUAAAAAAAAAAUAGAAGGGGGGAUCCGCGUGAAACGUUUCAACUUUGGUGUUACGUUGACGUGAUCGGGAGGGGAACUAUCUUGCUAGUUGAACUCUUCAGUGACGUCAGACGCACGCUACGCGCGCUCUCAUCCUUUUGACCCGAAUUCAAAUCAAACAACCACAGAAAAGGUCUUUUUAGAGAUAAAAAAACAAAACACAUAGUCCUAUGCCAUGAAAGCUAACAAUACUGGAAUAGUUUAAAAAAAUGUGAAACACAAAACUAGUUAGUAAAAACUUGUAAAAACGAGCAAAGACGUCACAGGAAGUGGCCUCGAUGUGGGGGAGUAUUUCCGGGUCACCAAAGACAGGUGAUUAAGUCCAGCCUCAAGCAUCGGGCUUGAGGUGAAGACACCUACACAGGUAAGAGCUGAAUGGUACAUUUUCAUAAACAAUGUUGAAUUGUGAAUAAAUAAUGAAGUAAUAAAAGAGCAACUAAUGGGUAA